AUGGCGGUGUUUUCUGGUCCGGCUGCGCCAGUCUUGUCGCUUAAGAUGUCGAGUUUCAAAAGGAGGUGGUGCAGGUUCGCAAGCACGUAACCCAGGGAAAAAAACAAGGACAACUUACUCCUGGAGUCGUCUGUGUGCGCCACCUGCCUAACCCACUUGAGGAAACCCAGAUCUUUUCCUAUUUCUCCCAGUUUGGCACUGUGACACGGUUCAGACUGUCCAGAAGUAAAAGGACUGGGAACAGCAAAGGCUAUGCAUUUGUGGAGUUUGAGUGUAAGGAUGUUGCCAAGAUAGUUGCUGAAACAAUGAACAACUACCUGUUUGGUGAAAGACUCUUGGAGUGUCGUCUUAUGCCACCUAAGAAAGUCCAUAAAGAACUCUUUAAAGACUGGAAUGUUCCAUUGAAGCCGCCGUCAUAUCCAUCAGUGAAACGAUUUUACAGAAAACGGAAAAGUAUUUCAAAAACUAAUUGUCAGAAGUCUACAAAAGGCCAGGUUUUACGUAAGAAGAAGAAAAAGGUUGUAGGCACUCUUGACACUCCUGAGAAGACUGUGGAGAGCCAGGGCCCCACACCAGUUUGUACACCAACAUUUUGGAGAGAUGAAAAUCUGAAGUGACUGAAAUGAAUGAAGAUGAUAAAGAUAAUGAACCAGUUUUCAGACAGCCUGUAUCCUGUGUAAAAGAAGAAAUACAGAAGACUCAAACACCUACACAUUCACGGAAGAAAAGACGAAGGAAAAGCAAUCAGUCAUUUUUAAUAUAUUGUAUUUUCUGAGAAAUACAAUAUUUUUAUGGGGGUGGACUUUGUAUUUUACUAGGUACAGUGAAAUGCAACCUGUGACAAGAUUGUCAGAGGAAAAAUACACUGUUUGGUCCAGUUAAGGAAAGCAGUCUGUAAUUUUAGAUUGCCUGCCCUUGGCUGAAAUACAAGGGUGCAGACCGGUUUGCAGUGGCUUGGCUGACAUUGCCUCUUUGUCCUGUUCUCUAUUUUUCUUUUGACAUUUCCUAGCUCUCCUUAGUUACUCUGCCUGGAUAGAAAGGUGACCACUAAGUGCAGGCUUAAGUACAAAACUGCAGCCUUUUCUGUCACCACCAGUUAAGGACCACCAAUUUUGUUUGUCUGUCUGCAUGAUUUGUCAGGGACAUUAACUCAUGAGGGUGCUUUAGAUUUCAACAUCAGAUGGUUGAAGCUGGAAGUUAAAUUAUAUGCAGAGUGAGAAGGCAGUUCCAGUGUUAGCACAGAUUUAUGUAUUCAGAUUUUAAUAGAGAUUAAAAAAUGACUCAUUUUUAUGAAUAAUUUUAAAUUAGUUUUCAUUGGGCUAGCAUGGAUUAAUAACCACCAUUUUAUACUAGUAUCAUCAGUGAGGAAUUGCAUUUCAAGAUUCAAACAAUAACUAGCAAAUAAACUUUUUUCUACAA